AGACAGCAGCAGCCACGGGAAUACGUAGGGUGCGAGCGUUAAUCGGAAUUACUGGGCGUAAAGCGUGCGCAGGCGGUUCGUUAAGACAGAUGUGGAAUCCCCGGGCUUAACCUCGGAACUGCCUUUGAUACUGGAAGUCUUGAGUGUGGAAGAGGUAAGUGGAAUUGCGAGUGUAGAGGUGAAAUUCGUAGAGAUGUGGAGGAACACCAGUGGCGAAGGCGACUCUCUGGUCUGUAACUGACGCUGAGGAGCGAAAGCGUGGGGAGCGAACAGGAUUAGAUACCCCCGUAGUCCCUGUCUCUUAUAC
rnacentral:rRNA from 1 species